GGAAACGACAGAGAAACAGAGAGCUGAAAUUUGAGAACACAUGCCUAAUAGAAAUCAGAGGGUGGCUCCCUUCAGUAAAUCUGAAAUUAGGAUAUUCAUUAAAAUGAUUUCACAAUGUAAGACCUCAGAGUUGACUGAACCCACAAAAAAGCUGCAGAAUCUCCAGUGCAAUGGAUUUCCAGACCAGCACUGAUCCUGGACUCUCCCCACAUCCUAGAGUAGAAAGUAUCCUCACAUGAGAGUAUCCUUUGCGUUGGAGUAGCCCACCAAUAGGUCCAGGACUCUUUCAUUCCCAGGAAGCAGGAAUGAAACAGGAAGCAGAUGAAAGCCUCCAGAGAGCUUGGACGGCAGCACGGAGCAACCCACCGCCUCUCAGCUCCUCUAAUCGAUCCAGCCCAGGGAGAAGAGGACGCUGAGUGGCCUGAAGGCGUCUACUAA